CAGGGGGCUCUGCGGGGCGGUGACCACACGGCAGCAGGCCAGUGGGUCCUGUCCCUGUAGGACGCCGUCUCCUGCCGUUAUUUAUGUCGCUACAAACUCCAGGAAGUCCUGGCUGAUGUCCAGCCCCGUCCUGUGAGCAUGAGCCCACGAGGUGGCGGAUCUAGAUCUCCUUACAGGAAAGAGACCAGAGCCCACGGCCGGGGAGCUGGGGACAGACCGACGGCCGUGCAGAGGCUGCCAUAUGCUUAACGUGCUCCAAUUACACAGGACGCUCCAGAAAUCACCGCUCUGGGGUGAGCGAGGGCAGUGGCCAUCACCACAUGUGGACAGCCCUGUCCAGGGUGAGGGUCUUCGCAACUGCUGAGCGGCUCCCGAGAGGGCGGCCUAGGCUCACAGGGGCCGGUGCACCGCUCAUGGGUCGGUGUUUGCCGGACACCCAGCACCAAGCUGGCUCCAGGCGGGAAAGAAACGAAAACAGGCUCCCAGGACCUUCCAGUCCAGUGGGGACAUGCACGCACAUGGCAGCGGGGCUUCUUCUUGGACCCCUCGUCUCUGUCCCCUCCUGUCCUCUUGGUUUCGUGGACAGAUAAAGCCCACAGGAAUAACCCUGCACCUCUGCACCCACAAGGAAGAGCCGGGUCUCUCCACCU
rnacentral:lncRNA from 1 species